rnacentral:rRNA from 1 species
ACCGUGCAAAGGUAGCAUAAUCAUUUGCCUAUUAAUUGUAGGCUAGUAUGAAAGGACAAACGAGAAUAUAGCUGUCUCCUUUAAACAAAUAAAAAUUUAUAUUUGAGUGAAGAAGCUCAAAUAAAGUCGCAGGACAAGAAGACCCUAUAGAGCUUUACCAAAAACAUUUAACACAAAAAUUUUAUGGUUCGGUUGGGGCGACCAGGGGCGUAAUUAAUCACCCCUAUUAUUUUAGAUCUACCAAUCUUACCAAUGAUCCUUAUUUUAAGAUCAAUGAAUCUAGCUACCUUAGGGAUAACAGGCUAAUCCUCUUAGAGAGCCCUUAUUGACAAGAGGGA